rnacentral:rRNA from 1 species
AGUCGAACGGCAGCACGGACUUCGGUCUGGUGGCGAGUGGCGAACGGUGAGUAAAUGUAUCGAACAUGCCUAGUAGCGGGGGAUAACUACGCGAAAGCGCAGCUAAUACCGCAUACGCCCUUCGGGGGAAAGCGGGGACCUCGGGCCUCGCACCGUUAGAGCGGCUGAUAUCGGAUUAGCUAGUUGGUGGGGUAACGGCUCACCAAGGCGACGAUCCGUAGCUGGUUUGAGAGGACGACCAGCCACACUGGGACCAGACACGCUUCCAGACUCCCACGGAGGCAGCAGUGUAGAAUUUUGGAUACGGUAGGAAACCCUGAUCCAGCCAUCCCGCGUGCAUAGCCUUCGCCAGCACCCCUUUGGCAGGAGCGAAAGUUCGGGCAUGGGAUGAACACCUGCAACCGACGGUACUCGCAGCAACAAGCACCGGCUAACUACGUGCCAGCAGCCGUGGUAAUACGUAGGGUGCAAGCGUUAAUCGGAAUUACUGGGCGUAAAGCGUGCGCAGGCGGUUCGGAAAGAAAGAUGUGAAGUCCAGAGCUAACUUUGGAACUGCAUUUUUUUAACUACCGAGCUGAGGCCGAGGGAGGUGGAAUUCGCGUAGCAGUGAAAUGCGUAGAUAUGCGGAGAACACCGAUGGCGAAGGCAGCCUCCUGGGAUAACACUGACGGCUCAUACCGAAAGCGUGGGAGCAAACAGGAUUAGAUAAUUUGGUGGUAGUCCACGCCCUUAAACGAUGUCAACUAGCCGUGUUAGCCUUCGGGCCUGCAGGUAGCAGCCAUUGCGUGAAGUUGACCGCCUGGGGAGUACGGUCGCAGACGCAAACCCAAAGGACCGACGGACCCGCACAAGCGGUGGAUGAUGUGGAUUAAUUCGAUGCAACGCGAAAACCUUACCUACCCUUGACAUGUCUGGAAUCCCGAAGAGAUUUGGGAGUGCCUCGUAAGAGAACCGGAACAGCAGGUGCUGCAUGGCUGUCGUCAGCUCGUGUCGUGAGAUGCUGCUUAAGUCCCGCAACGAGCGCAACCCUUUGUCAUUAGGUUGCUACGAAAGGGCACUCUAAUGAGACUGCCGGUGACAAACCGGAGGAAGGUGGGGAUGACGUCAAGUCCUCAUGGCCCUUAUGGGUAGGGCUUCACACGUCAUAAUAUCGGGACAGAGGGUCGCCAACUCCGCGAGGGGAGCCAAUCCCAGAAACCCGAUCGUAGUCCGAUCGCAGUCUGCAACUCGACUGCGUGAAGCCGGAAAUCACAGCAAUCGCGGAUCAGCAUGUCGCGGUGAAUACGUUCCCGGGUCUUGUACACACCGCCCGUCACACCAUGGGAGUGGGUUUUACCAGAAGUAGUUGAACAACCGUGUGAGGGCGAUUACCACGGUAGGAUUCAUGACUGGGGCAGUCGUGGUCAUGGGAAAUUGUUAUUGUUCGCUGAUGCUCCUGG